rnacentral:rRNA from 1 species
GCGGAGGAGCAUGUGGUUUAAUUCGAUGAUACGCGAGGAACCGUUACCUGGGCUCGAACGUAAGAUGACUGUAGGUGAAAGCUUACAUCUCUUCGGAGCAUUUUACGAGGUGCUGCAUGGUUGUCGUCAGCUCGUGCCGUGAGGUGUCGGGUUAAGUCCCAUAACGAGCGCAACCCUACCUUUAGUUGCCAUCAGGUAAUGCUGGGGACUCUAAAGGAACUGCCUACGCAAGUAGUGAGGAAGCGGGGAUGACGUCAAAUCAGCACGGCCCUUACGUCCAGGGCUACACACGUGCUACAAUGGCCGAUACAGAGGGCAGCUACCUGGUGACAGGAUGCAAAUCUCCAAAGUCGGUCUCAGUUCGGAUCGGAGUCUGCAACCCGACUCCGUGAAGUUGGAUUCGCUAGUAAUCGCGCAUCAGCCAUGGCGCGGUGAAUACGUUCCCGGGCCUU